rnacentral:lncRNA from 1 species
AUCCAGUAACAUUUAUGAGAUAAAAAUAUAAAUUUUAGGGAAAAAUAGACCAUAAAUUCAAUAGAGAGAUGAAAACAGUAAGGCAAGUUUUCAAGGAAUUAAAUUAAGAUAAGCAUAUAUUCAAAAUAUACAUCGAAUAGGGUUAAAAGUAGACAAUGACUGAAAAUAUCAAAUCAUUGAUGGCAUUAAAUUUAAAUUCUCAAUAUUAACAAUGUGGAAGAAAAUGAUAGAGGGAAUUUGUGGAAGAAGGGCUUAGAAGGAAACCUGAAACAUCAACCUAGGAAGUAUGAAAUUCCUAAGAAAUUGCAGUUAGACAAAAAGCAUCAGUCAAAGACAAAAUGGAAGAAUCACUUCAUCCUAUGAAGAAAGAUGAACAUGUAGACCAGUCUCCAUUUGCACCCCAUCUCCCACCUCCAUCUGUUUUUGUGCAAUGAACCUUUUACCAUGGUCCUUCUUUUUCCUAAAAUGUUCUUUGUUUUCUCUAUUUAGCUAUUUUCAGUGUUCAGAUCACCCUGCCUUAAAAUUUUCUAAUAUCAUCGCUUGUUAAAAGUUUAUUAUAUCCAUAGCAACAUAGCACUUAUCAAAUGGUAAUAUGGUCAAGUGAUAAUUAUACAUUUAUUUAUGAUUAUUGAAUAACUAAAGGCUCUCUCAGUAGUCACAAAUUCCAGGAAAGUAGAAAUUGAGUUGUUUUACACAUUGAAUAUAGAUAGACACUACUGAUAGAGAGAGAGAGAGAGAGAGAGAGAGAGAGAGAGAGGAGAGUGGUAACAGAGGGUUAAUUUAGGGAAUUAUUUGAAGUACUUAUGAAGGCUGAGAGAUCACAGGCAAUCUGCUAGCUGGAGACCCAGGGAGGCCAGUGGAAUGGCUAAACCUCUGCUGAAAGUCCUCAGACCCAGAGAAGCAGAUGGUGUACUUCUCAUUUACAGGAUUAAGGUCUGAGAAGGCUGGAAGUCUUCUGAUAAAAGUCCCAGAGCCAUGUUCCAGGGCAGGAAAAGAGUAUCCCAGCUCCAUGAGAAAAGAGAUAGAGAAAUUUUUCCUUUCCUCAACUUUUUUUUUUUUGAUUUAUCCAGGACCCAGGACUCAGGAACCUAGACAAUUAAAUGGUACCUGCCCACAUUAAGAGCAUCUUUCCUCUCAGUCAAUGACCUCACAUGUUGAUGUCAUCUGGAAACACCCUCACAGACACAUCCAGAAAUGAGACAUUUCUAGCUCCCUACAUACCCCUUAAUCUGGUCAAGUUGAUGUCUAAAAGUAAAUGCCACAUCUAUCUAUUUAAUUCCUAACAUAUAGCUUAGUGCCCAACACACAGGAGUUGCUUUAUUAUUUAUUUUUGGAACAAUGAGUGAAUGAAGGAAUACACAAGCAAAUUUCAAAAUACCAGUCAUAUAAAAUAUGAAUUCUAUAGAUAAGAACUUGGUAGCACAUGCAAAUAUUAAAAUACCUACAAUAAAAACAUGGAAUGGCCAUGAUUAUUUCAGGUGUUUGGAAAAUAUCUUUAUUGUAAAAGGAAAAAUAAGAUUUAAAUUAUAAAAAAAGAGAAGUAUCUUUUGACUGAGAUCUGUGUACUAAGUACAGGAGACAAAAACAUUUAGAAAAUAGAAAUUUUCCUGUUUGGUGAGCCCACAAGUGAAGUGGAGAACUAGAUAUGUAACAUGAUAAUAUGUAGUCUAAUGAAUGCUAUUAUUGAAUAAAACUGUUGAUGCUCAUUCAGAGAUAUGCUAAUCUGUUUUAAAUUCAAUAUGUGUACUUUUGGAG